CGUCAGCCCCGGCAAGGCCCCGGCCUCUCCGCUCAGCCGGCCCGAGGGGCGCGGCCGCCGCUGGCGUCGCAGCCGGUUUCCGUUCCGGGCCCGCCAGGCGGCAGCUCCGCUCUGCUCCUCUCUCCGCUGUGGGCGUCGCACGCUCCGGGGCCUCGACCUGGGCGCCCCGGGCCGUCGCUCUGGCUCCGCGCUGCUGCGAGCGCUGCAAACCGGCGGCCGAGUAAGCCCCAGCGCCGGGGAAGAAACUGGAAAUUGAAGAUUUAAGGAGAGAACAUUAUUUUAAAAUAUUCUGACUGACUUCAGAGAACGAUGCCAGAAACUUAAAAAGGGGCUGCACUGAGUGGCAGGGGCCCUGGAUCCUGAUUGCCCUUCUACCAGGAAGACACACGCAGCCAAAGAUGCAUUUGGAAAAAGCAAUGGCUUGCACCUUUGAGCAUGGAAAAGCAGGGCCACAGUGAGAUGGAAAGCAUCCUACCAGAGUCUCAUUCCUACAUUAAAUUGUUGACAAUCAACCGCGAACUUCUGGUCACUCACAUCCACAACACUCAGUGUCUGGUGGACAACCUGCGGGAGAAUGACUACUUCUCAGCCGAAGACGCGGAGAUCGUGGGUGCCUGCCCCACGCAGCCCGACAAGGUCCGCAAAAUUCUGGACCUGGUCCAGAGCAAGGGCGAGGAGAUAUCCGAGUUCUUCCUCUACGUGCUCCAGCAGCUCACAGACGCUUACGUGGACCUCGUGCCGUGGCUGUUGCAGAUCGGCUUUUCCCCUUCCAAGCUCAUUCAGAGCAAAGCUGUCGUCAACACUGACCCAGUGAGCAGGUAUACCCAGAAGCUGCGCCACCAACUGGGCCGGGACUCCAAGUUCAUCCUGUGCUAUGCGCAGAAGGAGGAGCUGCUGCUGGAGGAGACGUACACAGACACCAUUGUGGAGCUGGUGGGAUUUGGCAAUGAGAGUCUGGGCAGCCUGGACAGCCUGGCCUGCCUCCUGGACCACUCCACGGGUGUCCUCAACGAGCAGGGUGAGACCAUCUUCGUCUUCGGUGACGCUGGUGUGGGCAAGUCCAUGCUGCUGCAGCGGCUGCAGAGCCUCUGGGCCACGGGCCAGCUGGACGCGGGGCUCAAGUUUUUCUUCCACUUCCGCUGCCGCAUGUUCAGCUGCUUCAAGGAGAGCGACACGCUGAGUCUGCAGGACCUACUCUUCAAGCAUUACUGCUACCCGGAGCAGGACCCCGAGGAGGUGUUCGCCUUCCUGCUGCGCUUCCCCCACACGGCCCUCUUUACCUUCGAUGGCCUGGACGAGCUCCACUCGGACUUCGACCUGAGCCGCGUGCCCAACACCUCCUCGCCCUGGGAGCCCGCCCACCCCCUGGUCCUGCUGGCCAACCUGCUUAGCGGGACGCUGCUCAAAGGGGCUGCCAAGCUGCUCACGGCCCGCACCGGCAUUGAGAUCCCGCGCCAGCUCCUGCGGAAGAAGGUGCUUCUGCGGGGCUUCUCCCUCAGUCACCUGCAGGCCUUCACCAGGAGGAUGUUUCCCGACCGGGCGCUGCAGCACCGGGUGCUGGAGCAGCUGGAAGCCAACCCGAACCUCUGCAGCCUGUGUGCCGUGCCCCUCUUCUGCUGGAUCAUCUUCCGCUGCUUCCAGCACUUCCACAGCACCGUCGACAGCUUCCUGCAGCUGCCCACCUUCACGGUCACCCUGACUGACGUCUUCCUGCUGCUCACCGAGGUCCACCUGAACAGGACACAGCCCACCAGCCUGGUGCAGAGGAACACACGGAGCCAAGCGGAGGCCUACCAGGCUCACCUGGCCACCCUGCGCUCGCUGGGCCAGGUGGCCCACUGGGGCAUGGAGAAGAACCUGUUUGUCUUCAGCCAGGAGGAGGUGCAGGCAUCCGACAUGCAGGAGGGAGACCUGCAGCUGGGCUUCCUGAGGGCAGUGCCCGAGCUGGGCCUCGAAGGGGACCAGCAGUCCUACGAGUUUUUCCACAUCACCCUCCAGGCCUUCUUUACCUCCUUUUUCCUCGUGGUGGACGACAAGGUGAGCACUUCGGAGCUGCUCAGGUUCUUCCAGGAGUGGGCACCUCCUGGAGAGGCAGCAGCGACAUCCUGUUCUCCCCACUUCCUCCCUUUCCAGUGCCUGGGGGACAGUGGCCUGGCGAGGGAGGACCCCUUCAGGAACAAGGACCACUUUCAGUUCACCAGCCUCUUCCUGUGCGGGCUGUUGUCCAAAGCCAAACAGAAACUCCUGCGGCACCUGGUGCCUGCCGCGACCCUGAAGAGGAAGCGCAAGGCCCUGUGGGCACACCUGUUUGCCAGCCUGCGCGCCCACAUGAAGAACCUGCCCCGCACUCAGUAUGAGGGCUUCAAACAGGUGCAGGCCAUGCCCACCUUCAUCUGGAUGCUGCGUUGCAUCUACGAGACGCAGAGCGAGAAGGUGGGGCAGCUGGCAGCCAGGGGCAUCUGCGCCAACUACCUCAAGCUGACCUACUGCAACGCCUACUCGGCCGACUGCAGCGCGCUGUCCUUCGUCCUGCACCACUUCCGCAAACGGCUCGCCCUCGAUCUGGACAACAACAACCUCAAUGACUACGGCGUGCGGGAACUGCAGCCCUGCUUCAGCCGGCUGACCAUCAUCAGACUCAGUGUUAACCAGAUCACUGACAGUGGGGUAAAGGUGCUAUAUGAAGAGCUGACCAAGUACAAAAUUGUGACGUAUUUAGGCUUAUACAACAACCAGAUCACUGAUGUCGGAGCCACGUACGUCGCCAGAAUCCUGGAUGAAUGCAAAGGCCUCACGCACCUUAAACUGGGAAAAAACAAAAUAACGAGCGAAGGAGGAAAGUGUCUCGCCCUGGCUGUGAAGAACAGCAAAUCGAUCUUUGAAGUUGGGAUGUGGGGCAAUAGCAUCGGGGACGAAGGAGCCACGGCCUUCGCAGAGGCUCUGAGGAACCACCCCAGCCUGACCAACCUGAGUCUGGCAUUCAACGGCAUCUCUACAGAAGGAGGAAAGAGCCUCGCGCAGGCCCUGCGGCAGAACUCGUCUCUGAGAAUAUUCUGGCUCACCAAAAACGAACUCAAUGAUGAAGUAGCAGAGAGCUUGGCAGAGAUGUUGGAAGUCAACCAGACAUUGAAACAUUUAUGGCUAAUCCAGAACCAGAUCACAGCCAAGGGGAUCGCCCAGCUGGCAGAUGCAUUACAGAAGAACACUGGUGUAAUGGAGAUUUGCGUAAAUGGAAACUUGAUAAAUCCAGAGGAGGCCAAAGUCUUUGAAGGAGAGAAGCGGAUUGUCUGUUUCUGAGAGGAUGCUCUCCUGUUCUUGGGUCUCGGCGCUGGGAGGCUCUCUAGCAGCAGACGCCACUCUGUGCAGUCACCUCGCCUCAGAUGUCCGACAGGGCUGACACGGGACAGCCAGGAGCCCACUGCCUUCAUCAUGCAAAUCACUCUCCGUGCAGACGCUCUGACUGGCAAACUCCCUGCACGGCUAGUACCGUUUUGCAGGGGAGUGUGCUCUGUGUGCCAUUUCUGUGACUGUACACAUACUAUGAAGAGACGUUCAUGUAUAUCCAUGGAUAUUUUCACCUGAAACGAGAGGAGUCAGACUUUGAGCUCCUCUGAACGCCUGCCCGAGGACCCGGGGGAGUGAGGUGGUCACUGCUGCCUUCACCGGACAGUCCACGAUGUGGUGCCAAGUUUCUUGGAGAAAAGGUGCUCAGCCAACAAGUGUUGUACCUGAAAUAUUCUCUUCUUCCUCAGUCCUUCUCCGUGUGUUGGUAGUAUUCUCACCUCCCAGCUGUAGAUCCUGAGGGAUUCAACCUGGGAAGCAUGCUACGUUCCCUGAACCACAUGCGGACUCCUCAGAAGCACCCAAUGCACCGGUGGGGCCCUGGGGUGAUGUGCAUUGAGGAGAGCCUGAUGAAGGGAGGUCAGAAGCAUCAUUCGUUUGAUCCUUCACAGGCCUUUCCACUUACCAGGGGACCAGAAAACGCCGAGGAAGCGACUGAGAACAUGCCAUCGGACCACUGAAUCCAUGCAGGUGGCUUUUCAGAGGAAAUGACUUGAGUCAGGGAUGGGCCAAAUUUCACGGCCCUCCCCACUGUGCCAUGAAAGGUACUGUCAGGUCAGGUUCAUUGAGUGGAAGACCCCGGCGGGCCGUCACCCACUGUGGCAAUUGGCACUGAGCUGGUAGGAGUCGAACAUGAGAGGGGAAAAGGUGAGGGGCCUUCCAACAGUACCUGUGAGUUCUCAGGGGUCCAGCCUGCUUUGUACAGCAGCCCUGUUAGGGAGUUACCCUGAGAGUAAUGGGGAAAAUCCUGUACCGUCAGUCAGCCACGUGAAGACCUUUCCCCUCAGGCUCCGCUUUGGUGGUUCCCUCCCCUCACCCCAGAUCUGCGAAUUCACCUAACAGUCCCCUGCUGAGACAGCAACUCUCCCUACCAGAGAAUCUGGACAGUAAAUGCGCCCAGAAAGUGCAAAGGAAGGAGUAGGCAAACUGAAAGCCAAGGGUGCUUGGAACACACUUCAUUCCGACUUACCGAGUAAAAGAACUGCAUUUCUCAGCUGACAAAUUCUUAUUUGAUUAAACCGCUAACUCUAAACUUCUGAGAGUCUAAAAUUUACUCAGAAACUACCUAAUAUGACUGCUUUUAGAACGAUCAAAAUUUGUAUGAUGUUGCCUUAAAUUCUAUUUGGAACUCCUUUGAUCUCCUAGAUGGUGAAGAGAAGAUUUUCUAUUUCUCUUAUAAAAGUGAAAUCAGGCCCCUAAAUUUGCUGGAAAACUCUUCCAUUGCCCAUAGGCGUGCUUCUGUGCAGAGAUGUGGAGUCUUUUCCUAGUCAAGAAAAAGACCAUUGAAAAAAGAAAAAUUCCAGAAACUUGGGAUGUGACUAUUUCUUUCCACAGGACAUCUUGGUUGAUUUUGAGAAAGAAACUAAAAUGACAGCUCCCUUAUUUCAGACUUGUAUUAAUGGCAUGUUUGUGCUGAUUUGGAACUUUAGAAAAAAAAAGCCACGUCAAGUCACUGUGGCUUUGGGUGAGGUCCCAAGACUGUCGAAAUCUCAAUUUCCUCGUUCAAAACUGGGACUCCAUGAGUACUGACUCCCCGGGUUGUGAAGAGUAAAUGAGCUGAUGCACGCAAAACAGCAGAGCGCCAACACAGUGUCGCUGUUCAACUCACACUAGUUAUUAAGCAACGGGUCUCGUUGCCACUCACAAUGGAGCCCCCAAGUUGUUCUCAUCUCACUCUUAGGCUUAGGGAACUUCCCACAAGGUCAAGCAAGGGCAGGAGGCUCUCAGAGUCAAGUCCAAAAAUAUUCACACCAAGCUUCCUGCAAUUCCUCGCUUUGUCAGUGAAAAGCAUGGUCAUUAGUCUCCAUCGUUAUUAGCAAAGCGCCCUACCAUCUAAGUGUCACUCACGGAAAAGGGGCGGCGUCAGCACCACUAUACGAGCCCACGAGCCUUUCCCAGGCAUCCUUUUCAGUUUCUGAAUCUGGGAAGGAGCAUUGGGCUCAUUGCCAGUUUGGUCCAUUUCCUAAUGUGGCACACAUCUGUUUCCAGUACCUAACUGCUCACUUACCAAGAACAACAAUACCCUUGCUCUAAAGCUGAAAGACAAAACCACGACUAUUACCCAGGUCUAUCUACAGAGAGGAAUUUCAAUAGCUCGUGAGUGGGUCGAGGCUCCGGGUACCACACAGAUGGGCUGGUGGCAGAGCGGCAGAGCCCAGAGGCCAUCCCAGCACAAUUCUCUCAGCCUUAAAACUGAAUUAGCUGCACCUAAGACCAGCUUAAAACUUGUAGAGGCACUAAGCACUGAAAAGGUUACGGGUCGCCAGUGAUCUGUUAUCCAAAAAAUAAAAUAAAAAUAAAAUUAAGCAAUAGUAAAUUAUAAAAAGAAGAAUAAGUGCCAGGACGUCAAACAAGUUUCUGAUUUUUCCUAUGAUGACUUCGGUGCUUUUUGGGGCAAAGAACAAAUAUCAAAAUAUCUCAAAAAAUUUUCCUUGAUUUUUUUCCUCUGUCACCGUGCUUUAUUUUUGUUAUAAAAACACCAAAAUGUGAAAGAAAAAUUUUAAAUUAAUGCUAAUGAUAACAUGUUAACACAGCUAUUUUAAUUUUUGCAUGCCAUCCUCCCAUGUUUUUUGCCUACUUUGAGACAUCUUUGUUCCCAAUUUUUUUAAUGUGGUAAACUACACAUAGAUUUACCAUCUUAACCAUUUUAAGUUACAGUUCAGUGGUGUUGCGUACAGUCACGCUGCUGUGCCAUCAUCACCACCAUUCAUCUCUAGAACUCUUCUGGUAAAACUGAAACUCUACCUGUUAACUCCCUGUUCUCCCCUCCGCCCCAGCCCCUGGCUACCACCCUUUUACUUUCUCUUUCUAUGAUUUUUGACUACUCUUCAUAUACCUGGAAUCGUGCAGUAUUUAUCUUUUGUGACUGGCUUAUUUCACUUAGCAUAAUGUCAUCCAUCUUGAAUUUCUUUCUUUUUUAAGGCUGAAUAAUAUUUUGAGACAUCUUUUAUGUAAUGGGGAAGGGGAAAUGGUAGAAGAGGGUAAAGGGGGUCAAAUACAUGAUGAUGGAAGGAGAACUGACUCUGGGUGCUGAGCACACAAGGUGAUAUACAGACGAUGUAUUGCAGACUUGUACACCUGAAACCUACCUGUAUGUAAUUUUACUAACCACUGUCACCCCAAUGAAAUUAAUUUAAAAAAGGUGUCUUUUAACAUAGUUAUCACAGUGUACGUUUGCAGUUUUUCAUUUCCCCACAUCGUUACAGAGUCUUUAUAAUUGUCAUUUGUAUUCUCUUGGUUUGAUAAUUUGCUUGGUUAUAUUCCAAAUGCUAGGCACUCAGGUUUCCAGAUUGAACGUAGUGGUGAUUAUUAUGGACUGUUUUAUGAAAGUAAACAAUUCUUUACGAUUAUUUCUUUGGAAUGGGAUUAUCAAAGAGUCUUGGAAUAGUUUUCUUUCUUUUUCGACCUACAUUAGCCCCUAAGGUUCAGGGGUGUGAUAACUGGUUUGGAAGCGGGUAGAGUUAGAGAACAAUGUAAUGUGAAGCCAACCGUGUCUCCUCAGAAUGGGAAUAAAGCCUUCUGCCUGGACCGUCACCUUAGGCAGUGUUCAGGCACCGUAGCUCUUUUUUGGCCCCCCGCACCCGCAACCAUCAUAGCUGCAGACAGGCACUGGCAGUAACUACA